UUUACCAUAAUUUAUAUUUUUUACUUAUUGUAUUGUGUUGCUUAGCAAAAAUCUGGACAAAGAAGAGCUGGAAUCCAGAUUGUGGAGCUGUGUGUGUGUGUGUGUGUGUGUGUGUGUGUGUGUGUGUGUGUGUGUGUGUAUACAUACACUUCAGUUCCACUCGGUGAUCCUUCUGCAUAUUCAUAGGAUGCUACCAUUCAAGUCAUUUGAUUUUUUGUUCCGGGUCGUCUGCGUGCUGUUGGGGUGGCUUAUGCUUGGUCUGCGUGCUGUUGGGGUGGCUUAUGCUUGGUCUGCGUGCUGUUGAGGUGGCUUAUGCUGGGUCUGCUUGCUGUUGGGGUGGCUUAUGCUGGGUCUGCUUGCUGUUGGGGUGGCUUAUGCUGGGUCUGCUUGCUGUUGGGGGGGCUCGUUGCGCCGGUCAUCUGUGAUUUUGGGUGUUCUUUGUUGAGUUGUGGUUUGUCUGGUAAGUCUUCCUCAUACACUCCUUGUGUAUGUGGUUUUGUACUCUUCUCGUGUGUGUGUGUGUGUGUGUGUGUGUGUGGUUGGGUUUUUUUUUGUGUGUGUGUGUGAGAAACAUUUGAUUGACAAAACUCACUGUAUUUUGUUUAUUAAUCUGAAUGCCGUCUAUCAGGUUUACUUUUGUUUUUUGUUUGAAUUUUUCAUUUUUUUACAACUUUGUGGUGAUGUGUGGACCAGAGGAUGUCACAACCACUGGUAUAUAAAGCCAAUUCCGAGAAAAAAGUUGUUUUUUUUUUUCUCCUCCCACUUACAGCUUGUAAUUUUUUUUUUCAGUUUCAGACUUUUGACCUUGAUCUGGCGUGGAAUGUGCUAUAAUGAGUAACAGCAUAACGGAGAAGGCUGAUGACCUUUCUCAAUGUUGCUUGUGAGAAAUAAGAAUCAACACUUUCUAUACACCAUAUUCACCACAUUCACUUAACUGAUGACAAAGUUCUCUUUAUCAGCGGUUUUCUGAGUCACACUGGUACGUUUAGCAGAUCACAAUUAAAAUUCACAAGUGUUUCAACUUCCACAUGAUCUUGUUACUUGAGCACAUCAUAACAACAGUUUCUCACUCUUUUGAACAUUUUUGCAAAUGCUUUUACACAUGUAAAAGGCUGUGUACAGUCAUAUGCUUCAUCAGUUUGUGUUUUGGAAUGUUUUGCUAAAUUAGCUAUCAUUCAGAGCUUGAUUGUUACAUGUGAUUAAUGAGGAUUCAUUCAAUUUGGCAAAAGAAAAUGAGUGUAAAACCUCAUAGACCACCAAGCCAGAGUGGAUGUACCGGGUCAGCAUGAAGGAAAAUCCAGUAACAGUGUGUCACCCUAUCAGACAAUGUGUUCAGUCAUAUUUUUACCAUUGGGCUUUACAGAAAACACAAUCUUACCUUUAUUCAACCUGCUAGAAAACACUGUUCAGUUGGAGACAAUAAUAAAUUACUGUGAGUAAAAGAUACAGUAAAAAGCGAAAUUAGAAAAAGAAAUAAUUUCCAGGACAUAAUUUUAUAUUGACAACAUGACUAAGUAUUUUGACUGUCUUGGUUACAAACCAUGACAAAAGGACUUUCAUUUUGGUGGCACUGACAUUUAUUGCGGUGGUUAUUUACUUUUGAGACACACACUAAACAUUUUGAGUGAGUUAUGGACUUUUGCAGGUAAUCCACUGUGUGAUUGCUGUUUGUACUUCUCUUCAGAAAUGUUCAUAACAAUUCAAAAACAUCCCAAAACGACUGAGAAAAAUGGUGGUUAAUGUACUGCAUUUUAAAAUGCUUAUUUAACUUUUUGUAUGGGACAGUUGCUAAUUUUAAAACUGUAUCUCCAUCAGAAGGAAAUAAUUCCCACCACAGUUCCUAGCGAUCCAAGCUAACACAUGUGGAGAAAGGUAACUGAGACAGUGGACAUUUGUGUAAUAUUAAAUGUAUGUUACAGUGGUUGUUUUCUUUUCUUUUAGUAACAGUCUUUUAGUCCCCUGAGCACCUUUUGUAGAGGAAAACAAGUUCUUAGGUUUGCUGAGAGAACUGCUAUGAGCCAGGACAAUGAAGAGCCAAUCAAAAAGUAAACACUGUGUUGUCUGAACACAAACAUCAUCCCACGGUGAUCUUCAUUCUACAGAGCUUUUGUUAGAAAUGACAUCUGUUAAUGAGUUUUGGCAGUGUUUAUGUAUUGGACACAAUUCUCAAAGAGCUGACGUAGAGGAGCAGUUCAACACCCUAAUCUCAAGGAUAGACAUUCUAGAGAGACACUUUCUCCAGUGGCAACAUCUAAAAAAAAUCCCCCACCGCUUCUCUGAGAGUGAUGUUCUUUGGGGAGGCAGGCAUGAAUGCAGGUGUUCUCUGAAAAGAAUUUCUCACAGGUUAAACAAAUAUGACCAUGGAUAUGAAUUCCAAAGUAAUCAGAGUCCAUUAAAACAGUUUUAGAUUUUAGCUUAUACAUUAUGUCUGUCAUACUUUGGUUAAAAGGGCAGCAAACCCAAAAUUCAUGAAAUGUUAUACCCUACUUCUCAAAGGAUCUCUGUCAUUGAGUGUUAUGGUAUUAAUUGUGUGUUAGUUUUUUCUAUGAUGAAUGUAGAAAACUUGAAUAUAACCCCAUUAAUUUAGAGAAGUGUCAGUCUCUACAAACCAAUUAGACAAACCUCCUAAAACUGUCUGGAUGAUUAACUAGAAAUAUGGUCAGACAAUGUUUACAUUUAUAUUUUUUAUACAUUUCUAAUUUUUUCUUUCCCAGGUUGAAUUGACUCAGCAUUCCAUUGAAGGCCUAUCUGAUAAUCUAAAACUGUGAAUAUACUGGAGCUCUCUGCCUUCAAAACAAGGAGUUAAUUGUUCGGUAUGGUGGGUUUUGUAGGAUUUUUUUUUUUUUUCUUUCUGCUGUUGUGGAGCCAUCAGACACCAGACAGUGCUGAAGUUGCAGCCUCUGUUGAAACAACCAAGAUAAGCCCUGCAGCUGUGUGACCUUCACUACUCAGGCAGUACCAGAUAUCUGCCAGCCCAGUUUGUUCCUGUGGAAGAUGUAGAAGUCAGUGCAGAGAGUGUUAUGGCAACCAUUCUUUCUCAACUGGGUGACAAGAGGACCACCAAGCAUCAGGCUGAGCUGGAGAUGAUCAACUUUAUACAGGACUUCUUUUAUGUUGAAGCUGAAUAUCAGGGGGAUGUAGAUGAGAAAGAUUCCCACAUUCCAUCACACCUGCCAGGUUUCUGCAGAGGAUUACAGGCCAAGGGCACAUCCCACCUCUUCCUUCAAAGAAGGACUUUGCUGUAACGUUAAAAUUUAACCACGACUGCAGUUCAGACUUUGGGCAUCAUAACCUCUGUUACACUGUUGUGUCAGCAUGUCCAAGUCUUUUGUGCUACCUGUAAGACACAUGAGGUCCUGUGACCAAUCCGAAAGGGUUCUAAUGGAGACUUUAUAACUAGGCCAAGAAUUUAACACUGUGUAAACAAAAUUCCAGCAACUGCCUGUUUUUCAAAGUUGAAUUACAACCUAAAUGUUUCACACCAACUGCUACUGUUUUACUGUCCUAUGUUCUGAUUAAUUAAACACAUUUCGUAAUGUGUAAUAUUGUGUUCCAAGAUCUUACCAUGUUUAAAGAGAGGAAUUAGUCAAGUAAACAAACAUAAUGUCAUUUCCACCAAUCUUGUUCACCAAUUAUUUACAGGUGGUAUCUAGGGUCCAUGAUUUAGUACACAGUUCAGUACAGCUAAAUAAAUGUCUCGACUGGCUCAGAUGGUCUGCCAUAUCCUGCUCACACAGGGGACACUGAACAGCUAGAAGAACCCAGAACUGGUCUCAUCUAGCUCAGUGACUGUGUUGAAAUCAAGAUCUGUGUCGUUGAUUUAUUACAUUUAUUAAAAAAUAGCAAUUUCAAUUUUUAAAACCUGUCAUAUAGAAAUCAGGCAUACAUAAAAUAAAACUACAAAGGCAACCAGAUUGGCUGACUAUGCUAAAAAGCCAAAGAAAUAUAAGCCUCGUUCAGCUUUUGAACAGUUCACCCAUCAAAAGAAAUGGUUCAAACUUUAUACAUGUUGCAUAUUUAAUGUAGUUAUACGCUGUGCAUAUAUAUAGCAUUUUAAUAGUUUUAAGCAUUACCUGAUAUUAGAAAGCAUCUUUUUUUUUUCCUUCAAACUUUUCUGCAAUUUGAUUCAAAUUUGUUUUAUCGCUUUAGUUUAUUUUGAUGUUCUUGAUUGGAA